GAAAUAUGUAGCUUGGUUGCAAAGCAUCUGAUUUGUAUGCAGAAGGUCCCAGGUUCAAUGGCUGGCAUCUUCA